CACCCACUCCCCUAGCAGAGUGUCAGUAUAUAUAAUGCCAGCCCCCCUCACAGGCAGGAGACACGGGCAGCUCGGCCUCACCAGGAGCCUCGGCACGAAGGGACAGCCAAAGGAUGAAGCUUUUCGUGGGCAUCCUGUUGUGCUCCCUGGUCCUGGGCGUCAGCAGCCAAAGAUGGCUCAGGUUCCUCAAGGAAGCUGGUCAAGGGACUAAAGACAUGUGGAGAGCCUACUCUGACAUGAGAGAAGCCAAUUACAA